GAUGUUAGCUCUAAAAUAUGCACACAUCGCCCGUCGCUCUCGUGAUAAAUGAGAUAAGUCGUAACAUAGUAGAUGUAUUGGAAAAUGUAUCUAGAAAGUCA
rnacentral:rRNA from 1 species